UGAAGAAUUUGUCCAACGGCGGGGAAUAGCCGGCCCAACGGCCGGGUAAUACCGCGUACGACCCUCGGGGGGCAUCCCCUGAAGGUGAAAGCCGCAAGGCGCCGAUGGAGAACUUCGCGGCCUAUCAGCUAGUUGGUGAGGUCAUGGCUCACCAAGGCGACGACGGGUAGCUGGUCUGAGAGGAUGGCCAGCCACAUUGGGACUGAGACACGGCCCAGACUCGUACGGGAGCAG
rnacentral:rRNA from 1 species